rnacentral:hammerhead_ribozyme from 1 species
UUGCUGAUGAAGAGUCCCAAACUAGGACGAAACAGCUGUCCAGCAC